rnacentral:rRNA from 1 species
CACCUGUUUAACAAAAACAUGUCUUUUUGAAAUAAAUUUAAGUCUGACCUGCCCACUGAAAUUUUUAAAUGGCCGCAGUAUUCUAACUGUGCAAAGGUAGCAUAAUCAUUAGUCUUUUAAUUGAAGGCUGGAAUGAAUGGUUGGACGAAAUAUUAACUGUUUCAUUUUAAUUUUUUAUAGAAUUUUAUUUUUUAGUCAAAAAGCUAAAAUAAUAUUAAAAGACGAGAAGACCCUAUAAAUCUUUAUAUUUAAUUUAUUUUUAUUAUAAAGAUUAAUUUUAUUUAAAUAAAUUUAAAUAUUUUAUUGGGGUGAUAUUAAAAUUUAAAAAACUUUUAAUUUUUAAAAACAUUAAUUUAUGAACAAUUGAUCCAGUAAUAUUGAUUAAAAAUUUAAGUUACUUUAGGAUAACAGCGUAA